UACAGAGGGUGCAAGCGUUAAUCGGAAUUACUGGCGUAAAGCGUGCGUAGACGGUUAUGUAAGUCAGAUGUGAAAGCCCCGGCUCAACCUGGGAAUUGCAUUGAGACUGCAUAGCUAGGGUGCGGAAGAGGGAAGCGGAAUUUCCGGUGUAGCGGUGAAAUGCGUAGAUAUCGGGAGGAACACCAGUGGCGAAGGCGACUCCUGGCCUGUUCUUGACGCUGAGGCGCGAAAGCUGAGGGGAGCAAACGGG
rnacentral:rRNA from 1 species